rnacentral:rRNA from 1 species
GAGUUUGAUCGUGGCUCAGAUUGAACGCUGGCGGCAUGCCUUACACAUGCAAGUCGAACGGCAGCACGGGAGCUUGCUCCUGGUGGCGAGUGGCGAACGGGUGAGUAAUGCAUCGGAACGUAUCCUGGAGUGGGGGAUAACGUAGCGAAAGUUACGCUAAUACCGCAUAUUCUGUGAGCAGGAAAGCGGGGGACCUUCGGGCCUCGCGCUCUUGGAGCGGGCCGAUGUCGGAUUAGCUAGUUGGUGAGGUAAAGGCUCACCAAGGCGACGAUCCGUAGCAGGUCUGAGAGGAUGAUCUGCCACACUGGAACUGAGACACGGUCCAGACUCCUACGGGAGCAGCAGUGGGGAAUUUUGGGACAAUGGGGGCAACCCUGAUCCAGCCAUGCCGCGUGAGUGAAGAAGGCCUGGUUGUAAG